GAGGAAAUGACGUUUUAUCAGUUAUUUCAGACUGAGCUCCUAAAAGUAGCCACGGUGCCUGGGAGAACGUGUCUUUGAAUGAAAGGGGAAGCUAUAAGUAGGAGAUAGAACCUGAUAGAUGAGCAAGUUGGGGGAGAGAAUGACUGGAGGACACGGCCAGCAG